rnacentral:rRNA from 1 species
AUGGAGGACGAGCGGUGCGCGGCAGCGCGGACCGACCCGACGUCCCGACCGAUGCGGCGUAAGGAGGCCAAGGUGGCCCUCGGCUCGAAGAUGAAGCGGGCAAUGGAGGACGAGCGGUUCACGGCGGCGCGGACAGACCCGAGGUUCCGACAGAUGCGGCGUAAGGAGGCCAAGGUGGCCAUCGACUCGAGGUUCACCCCCAUGCUCACGGACCCCAUGUUCGAUUCUUCGUUAGUGGACAAGCGAGGCAGACGCCGCAAGAAGAGCGCCGGGGAGAACCCCAUCCUGCAUUACUAUCUCAACGAAGAGGCGGGGGACGAAAAGGACAAGGAUAAGACGGAGCAAGAGGAGCUGAUUUGUGAAGAGGAGGAUCAUGCGCUGGAACAAGAGAGUCCUAGUAGCGAUGACGAGGAGGACGGCCAUGACCAGUACUUUGUGGGCUGCGACGUUGCUCAUCACUUGAUGUCUAGGCAUGAUGAUACACAUGUGAUUGACAAGGAAACUCACAGGCUUGCUGUUGUGAACAUGGACUGGGAUCAUAUUAAGGCGGUGGACUUGUAUAUGGUCAUGACAUCUUGUAUUCCGGAAGGUGGGCGAGUUCUAUCAGUCUCGAUAUAUCCAACAGAAUUUGGACUGAAGUGCAUGAACAUUGAGACAACUGAAGGCCCUUCUGCUCUUUUUGGUGCUGAUGGUUAUGGUGGUGAUGAUGGUGGGAAAGAUGAUGACAGUGAUGAUGGAUAUGGUGAUGGCGAAGAAGAUGAACUUGACUCUGAGACUGAGAACAACAAGCUCCGUACUUAUGGGCUAAACAAACUGAGGUACUACUAUGCAGUUGUGGUGUGUGAUUCUAGUGCAACUGCGGAUCACAUAUACACAACUCUUGAUGGUACCGAGUUCUUGAAAACGGCAAAUGUGUUUGAUUUGCAGUUUAUUUAUGACUCUAUGGAGUUCAAAUACCCUGCUCAUGAUGUAGCUACAGAGGCACCUUUGAGUUACAAGGAUCCUGAUUUUGAGACUUGUCCUUCGCAGCAUACCAAAGUUAAGCCCACCUGGGAUGAUGAUGAACCAGAUUGUAAGAUCUUGAGGGAAACGUUCGAACAUAAGUUUGAUGACAUUUAUAAAUAUAUUGAAAGUGAUGAGAGUGCAUCAGAAGAUGUAGAUGAUUCAGGUUACCGGUCUCGGCCAAAUGGUGUAUCGAUAUGGAAGUUAACAAAUAAGGACAGGUUGGCUCUUUUACUAGAAGGAAAUAAAUCUGAUGUGGAACAAAGACAUGACCAAGACAUGGAGGUAACAUUCAACAUGGAGCUCAAGGACUUCAGCAGAUGUAUCCUUGAGAGAAAGGGUAUUGAGACGAAGACUAUAUGGGAAAUGCACCAAGGAAAAAUGAAGGAGAAGCAGAAAGGUAGAAAGAGGUGGCCAAAGGAUGAUGAUGACUAUAGCAACAAAGAUAGCGCUGAUGAUUUCCUUGAUGAAAAGUUGUUUGAAGAAGCUAAGCCGAUGAAGAAACCAAAGGUGAAGGCCAAAGGGAAAGGAAAGACAAGGCUCCAGAGGAACAUUAUGAGCCAGAAGCAACUAAAGAGCCUGAGGAAGUGA